rnacentral:rRNA from 1 species
CAGACUCCUACGGGAGGCAGCAGUGAGGAAUAUUGGUCAAUGGACGAGAGUCUGAACCAGCCAAGUAGCGUGCAGGAUGACGGCCCUAUGGGUUGUAAACUGCUUUUAUAAGGGAAUAAAAGUGAGUCUCGUGAGACUUUUUGCAUGUACCUUAUGAAUAAGGACCGGCUAAUUCCGUGC